CCUAAAUCUCCAGGAAGAAGAUGAAAGCUGCAGUUUUUCCGUCUACAUUUUGUAUAUUAAGAUUUAGUCAAUUAUUUUUGCAAUAUUUUAAUAAACAAAAUUGGGAACAUGCAUUCAGGAGCACCCCAUGCUGCUAGCUGAGCCUCCUUUAAACACUCAACAGCAGAGAGAGAGAGAUAAGUUUGAUUUAUCUGCUUAUAGAUAUUUAUUUUUGUCUUAUAUUAGUUCAUCUUAAUUUGAGUGUGUUACUGAUGUUCUCAAAUUAUAUGCUUGACAGGGCGGCAGAGCUAGCUAAUGUUUGAAAAAUACAAAGCUCCAGCAUUGUUCAUGGCUAAGAAUCAUGUUCUCACGUCCUUUGCUACUGGGCGUGCUACCUCUUUGGUUGUUGAGUGUUGACUGCGGUGGAGGAUCGAUCCACAACUAUUGCACCGGUGCAUGAAGGUUAUGUCCUUCAAAAGGCGGUUGUAUCAGCUCCAAUUGGAGGGGAGUUUCUCACUGACUGCUUACUGAAAAGCUUGGAGAGUAAAGGAAUUAAAAUAAGACCUAGAUACUCUUUCACAAGAAAGGAAGUACGAGCAGUGGAAUUCCAGGUUGAAGAUGUAGAUUUUCCUGACACCACGGAAAGCUACAAGCUCUUCUGCCAGAGGAUGAUAGUGGGUGACAUCAAGAUUGUUAUAUAUGUGCAGUGUGUGGAUAGGAGGGAGUAUAUUGGCACCACUAGGCUCAUUCCAACAGAUGUGGUUCUCCAAAUCCGAGUACGAGGAGCAUGGCGCUUCAUACAUUCGGAGAAAGUGCACUACCUUAGACCAUGAUUAUAGUUGCACGGUUUCAUAAGUCGAUUUCUAUUUUAUUUUUAUUUUUUUGUUUUUGCUGAUUAAAAAAAAAAAAUUAAAAAUCGAACCAAUCGCGGAUCGCCACGUGUCAGUAGGGUCCACGAACAUUGCAAAAAUUACA